CCUACGGGUGGCAGCAGUGAGGAAUAUUGGUCAAUGGACGAGAGUCUGAACCAGCCAAGUAGCGUGAAGGAUGACUGCCCUAUGGGUUGUAAACUUCUUUUAUAAAGGAAUAAAACGAGGCACGUGUGCCUUUUUGCAUGUACUUUAUGAAUAAGCAUCGGCUAACUCCGUGCCAGCAGCCGCGGUAAUACGGAGGAUCCGAGCGUUAUCCGGAUUUAUUGGGUUUAAAGGGAGCGUAGAUGGGUUGUUAAGUCAGUGGUGAAAGUUUGCGGCUCAACCGUAAAAUUGCAAUUGAUACUGGAAGUCUUGAGUACAGUUGAGGUAGGCGGAAUGCGUGGUGUAGCGGUGAAAUGCUUAGAUAUCACGAAGAACCCCGAUUGCGAAGGUAGCUUACUAAGCUGUGACUGACACUGAUGCUCGAAAGUGUGGGUAUCAAACAGGAUUAGAUACCCCUGUAGUC
rnacentral:rRNA from 1 species